rnacentral:rRNA from 1 species
AUACGUAGGGGGCGAGCGUUGUCCGGAAUGAUUGGGCGUAAAGGGCGCGUAGGCGGCCCGGUAAGUCUGGAGUGAAAGUCCUGUUUUUAAGAUGGGAAUUGCUUUGGAUACUGUCGGGCUUGAGUGCAGGAGAGGUAAGUGGAAUUCCCAGUGUAGCGGUGAAAUGCGUAGAGAUUGGGAGGAACACCAGUGGCGAAGGCGACUUACUGGACUGUAACUGACGCUGAGGCGCGAAAGUGUGGGGAGCAAACAGGAUUAGAUACCCUGGUAGUCCACACUGUAAACGAUGAAUGCUAGGUGUAGGGGGUAUCGACCCCUUCUGUGCCGCAGUCAACACAAUAAGCAUUCCGCCUGGGGAGUACGGC